CGAAUACCGGAGAAUGUUAUCACGGGAGACACACGGCGGGUGCUAACGUCCGUCGUGAAGAGGGAAACAACCCAGACCGCCAGCUAAGGUCCCAAAGUCAUGGUUAAGUGGGAAACGAUGUGGGAAGGCCCAGACAGCCAGGAUGUUGGCUUAGAAGCAGCCAUCAUUUAAAGAAAGCGUAAUAGCUCACUGGUCGAGUCGGCCUGCGCGGAAGAUGUAACGGGGCUAAACCAUGCACCGAAGCUGCGGCAGCGACGCUGAUGCGUUGUUGGGUAGGGGAGCGUUCUGUAAGCCUGUGAAGGUGUGCUGUGAGGCAUGCUGGAGGUAUCAGAAGUGCGAAUGCUGACAUAAGUAACGAUAAAGCGGGUGAAAAGCCCGCUCGCCGGAAGACCAAGGGUUCCUGUCCAACGUUAAUCGGGGCAGGGUGAGUCGACCCCUAAGGCGAGGCCGAAAGGCGUAGUCGAUGGGAAACAGGUUAAUAUUCCUG
rnacentral:rRNA from 1 species